GAUGAAGAACGCAGCGAAAUGCGAUAAGUAAUGUGAAUUCCAGAAUUCAGUGAAUCAUCGAAUCUUUGAACGCACCUUGCGCUCGUCGGUAUUCCGACGAGCAUGCCUGUUUGAGUCUCAUGAAGCUCUCAAACCUCGAAAGUUUGCGCUUUCGAUGGCUUUGGACUUGGAGGUCUAUGCCGGCGCGAGUCGGCUCCUCUCUAAAUGCAUUAGCUCGGAUCAUACGUGUCGAUCUGCGGUGUGAUAAACGUCUACGUCGCGGCAUUUGACACCUCGCUUUUUUGCGAGCUGGNNUGGCUUCUAAUCGCCUUCGGGCAACACAUCUGACAUCUGAGCUCAAAUCAGGUAGGACUACCCGCUGAACUUAAGCAUAUCAAUAAGCGGAGGA
rnacentral:misc_RNA from 1 species